GUUUCUUUUACAGCUCAUUGCGGAGGAGGUAGCGAUGGUUUGGCUUCAGGUCCACCUCCACGGGGAAAUGAUCGCUCACCUUCAGGGCCUAAUGUGUCAACGGCACAGUGAGUCUUUUCCCGGACGGUCGUGUCCUGCUCGUCUCCAAUCAGCCAAUGGAAUUUCGGAUCACUUCUCAGACGGACGGCUCGCAAGCCCUUGAUGGUGACGUAGCUGCACGCGGCGUUCAGGUCCCCUAAAAUCAUCGCGUUCUGCAGUAGAUCUCUUUGAACACGACAUAAAGUUGAUCCAUCUCCUUCAUGGCCGUUUUGGGACUGGUGUGUUGGCCAAUGAGGACCACAUCCUUCAUUACUAAAACACAAAACAAAAACAAGCCCACCUUUUCAGACAUUUCCUUGGUCUUUCAUCUGAUCUGCCCUACAGUGAAAGAAGGCCGCUACAAAAAACAAGCUAAGUACAGUCGUACUGUAACUUGGUUUUCUAUGCCCCACUUUUCAUAGGAUUCACUUUUCAACAAAGCUUUCACAAAAAUAUCUGUCAAGUUUGAAGAUUGAAUCUAAAUUUGUAAAUUGUAAAUACAAUGGCAUGAAUGUUAGUAUGAAAUAGAUAUAGUCGUAAAAGUUCAACAGUAAGGUUUCUUGAAUCAAAUGAACAAUGUCUAGGACUAAAUACACUCCACUGUCAAAAAUACGAAAUGGUUCGUUCCACUUGAGUAGCGGCUGGGUUUGGUUGUUAUCAUCAGUCAUCAACAAUUGAGAACAGAGAAAUGGAUAUUGGAACAGUGUAGGUCUGA